AUUGAACGCUGGCGGCAGGCCUAACACAUGCAAGUCGAACGAGUGGCGGACGGGUGAGUAAUGUCUGGGGAACUGCCCGAUGGAGGGGGAUAACUACUGGAAACGGUAGCUAAUACCGCAUACCAUCGGAUGUGCCCCGAUGGGAUUAGCUAGUAGGUGGGGUAAAGGCUCACCUAGGCGACGAUCCCUAGCUGGUCUGAGAGGAUGAUCAGCCACACUGGAACUGAGACACGGUCCAGACUCCUACGGGAGGCAGCAGUGGGGAAUAUUGGACAAUGGGCGAAAGCCUGAUGCAGCCAUGCCGCGUGUAUGAAGAAGGCCUUCGGGUUGUAAAGUACUUUCAGCGGGGAGGCGGUACCAACAGAAUAAGCACCGGCUAACUCCGUGCCAGCAGCCGCGGUAAUAC
rnacentral:rRNA from 1 species